GUUUUUUCCUUUGGGAAGAAGUCUAAACAAUGAAGUGGGGCGUGGGGCCAGCUUUAUCACCUGAGGAAGUAACCAGGUUCUUUUUUCUCCCCUCCCUGCAAUUUAGCAGAUAGGUGGGUCUCUUGGCCUGUGGCUCCUUCUUUACCCAGCAAGUCUCCCUCCCCAGAGAUGAGGAUCCCUGUAAUUACCUGAGGUCCUCUCCCUCCCUUGUCCCCACACCACCUCCCAGGUCCUCUCCCUCUCUAGAAGAAAUGGUCCAAGUUACAAGGCAGACACUACUGAAGCUCCAGAGAAGUCUCAGUAGCUUCUAGUUUCUGGCAUUUUGGUCACUGGCAUUUGGCAAAAUGGCCCUUGAUUUAACCAUAAAAGAGGAAUUUGCUGAUACUCAACCAGUCCGCCCCGACUAGUUGUGGACGAUGUCUGCCAGCUGCCUACAGAAUCCACCCUUUUCCUUUGGAAUUCCCUCCUUCUCCUGACGCUGACAAUACCCUUGCCCUUCAGAGGACCUGCCUUCCCACUCUCCAUUGGACACUGUGGAACUUCUUGGCGUCCAGUCCCAAGGGCACAGCCACCGCAGGACUUCACGUCUGCCUGCCUGAGCAGGGCUGGUGUCUUAUGAAUGGCAGCUGAGACCCAGUUCAGGCUCACGACCUCAUAUCACAGAAAUGAACUCAAAGGAAAAUGACUAAUCACCGACCUACUCAGAAUCAUUGGUCCCCGGCAAGCAAGGGUGAUCCUGCAUCAAUCUAUUAAUUUUCAUUUCCAGGGUUCUCAGAUGUAAAACAAAUGUUUGAUGUAAUCCGCAACACUGCUCUGUUAUAAUUAAACAACCUCCUACUGCCUAAAUUGGCAAAGCACUCCAUCGAUCAGUGAUAAAUGUGGUCCUUGGGAGACUGCUUUUAUGUUUGUUUCACUCAUGGGAAAAUGGCCACAACCCUUUUGUAAGAUUCCUCGGCUGCUGCUCUCCCCAGGUUACAAUCAUAGUAACUGCUGCUUCUGGGAUGCCUCGCUGUAAUCCUCAUGUUCAAUGAUGGCUCAAUGGAUAUGUGCUUGAAGGAGAGUGAGUGAUGGGGAGUCUACAGUUAUGAAUAAAAUAUAUUCAAGUCAAUAAACCCUUCCUGGGUUCCUUUGCCUCACCAUUUUAUGCACAAUUUAUGAAGCACCCUACACAUACCAGGAGCUAUUUGCAAUGUUUAAGAUGUGGGAGCCCCCAUAAUUCUAAAU
rnacentral:lncRNA from 10 species